UCAUCAAUUAGUUGGCAAGACUGGAGGUACACUGAGCCAAAUGAUAGCCACACGCUCUGAUGAGCUGGGACAGAGAACACAAAUGCAAGAGAGCAGUACUUGGUUGUUGUGUGAUAUGCCUGAGAGAAAGUUAAUUGGAAGCUGUCUUACUGAACAACGAAAAACCACAUUAGGAUUGAACUCCACAGUAAUGCAAACACAGAGGCUUCCUUGAGGUACUGAGGGGCUGCAAUGAGGUCACCCUGCAACCUUCUCUUCUCCAGGCUUCUCUUCUGCCCAGCUCCCUGAGCCUGUCCUCAAGGAAGAAAUGUACUUCUGAUCUUUCAGGAAGACUGAAGAACCGACGCUGGAUUGUAAAAAUAAUGCUGUUUUCUGGAUAUAGUGGGAAAUUAUGGAAACUCUUCCACCACACUGCUGCCAUACUGGUUGCUGUUUUAAGAUGAUCCAAGGAGUGCAGUGCUUUUUUCACUUGCAUGUGCCAGUCAGAUGGACAAUAACCUGGUAGAUCCUGACUGCAGAAAAUGCUAUUGAUCCAGGGAGAGAGAUGGACUGUGAGCCAAGUGACUCUUUCCUGUAUCAACUCCAUUGCCAAAGAGUGAGUGUAAAAGAAUAACUGAAAAGUGUCAAAUUCAUUCUGAAAUAUAUCUCUACAAUACAGUAACAACACAGUGUGUUGGCAGUACAUAUCUUAUCUUUUAUCCUGACUGGGGGCUGAUUCUUAAUCUGCUAUAUCAAGUCUCCUUUAUACUCUUCUGUCAAAAUAUAGGAUUAUUUUAUAGUCAAAAAGCAGACAAAUGUGACUCAGAUACA